AGGGAUUUAGCUCAGCGGUAUAAGCGCCUGCCUUGCAAGCAGGCAGUCCUUCAAUCCCUG
rnacentral:tRNA from 1 species